GAUGAAGAACGUAGCGAAAUGCGAUAAGUAAUGUGAAUUGCAGAAUUCAGUGAAUCAUCGAAUCUUUGAACGCACAUUGCGCCCGCCAGCAUUCUGGCGGGCAUGCCUGUUCGAGCGUCAUUUCAACCCUCGAGCCCCCCCGGGGGCCUCAGUGUUGGGGGACGGCACACCAGCCGCCCCCGAAAUGCAGUGGCGACCCCGCCGCAGCCUCCCCUGCGUAGUAGCACACACCUCGCACCGGAGCGCGGAGGCGGUCACGCCGUAAAACGCCCAACUUUCUUAGAGUUGACCUCGGAUCAGGUAGGAAUACCCGCUGAACUUAAGCAUAUCAAUAAGCGGAGGA
rnacentral:misc_RNA from 1 species